UUGUUUUUAUUGAAAUAUAGUUCGGACUCAUAAUCGCUUGGUCGCUGGUUCAAGUCCAGCAGGGGCCACCA
rnacentral:tRNA from 1 species